ACUGACAUAGCUCAACUGGGAGAGCAUUUCCCUUACAAGGAAGGGGCUGGGAGUUCGAUUCUCUCUGUCAGUA
rnacentral:tRNA from 1 species